rnacentral:rRNA from 1 species
ACGGGGGGUGCAAGCGUUAUUCGGAAUUACUGGGCGUAAAGAGCGCGUAGGCGGUCCUAUAAGUCAGCUGUGAAAGCCCGGGGCUUAACCCCGGAAGUGCACUUGAAACUAUAGGACUUGAGUAUGGGAGAGGGAAGUGGAAUUCCUGGUGUAGCGGUGAAAUGCGUAGAUAUCAGGAGGAACAUCGGUGGCGAAGGCGACUUCCUGGACCAAUACUGACGCUGAGGCGCGAAGGCGUGGGGAGCAAACAGG